rnacentral:rRNA from 1 species
UCGAACGGGGCGAGGGGCAACCCUUGCUUAGUGGCGAACGGGUGAGUAAUGCAUCGGAACGUGUCCCGUAGUGGGGGAUAGCCCGGGGAAACCCGGAUUAAUACCGCAUAUGCUCCACGGAGGAAAGUGGGGGCUCCGCAAGGACCUCACGCUAUGGGAGCGGCCGAUGCCGGAUUAGCUAGUUGGUGAGGUAAAGGCUUACCAAGGCGACGAUCCGUAGCUGGUCUGAGAGGAUGAUCAGCCACACUGGGACUGAGACACGGCCCAGACUCCUACGGGAGGCAGCAGUGGGGAAUUUUGGACAAUGGGGGCAACCCUGAUCCAGCCAUGCCGCGUGAGUGAAGAAGGCCUUCGGGUUGUAAAGCUCUUUCGGCCGGAAAGAAAGCCUCACCCUGAAUAGGGGUGGGGGUUGACGGUACCGGCAGAAGAAGCACCGGCUAACUACGUGCCAGCAGCCGCGGUAUUACGUAGGGUGCGAGCGUUAAUCGGAAUUACUGGGCGUAAAGCGUGCGCAGGCGGUUAUUUAAGCUUGCUGUGAAAGCCCCGGGCUUAACCCGGGAAUGGCAGUGAGGACUGGAUAACUGGAGUGUGGCAGAGGGGGGUGGAAUUCCACGUGUAGCAGUGAAAUGCGUAGAGAUGUGGAGGAACACCGACGGCGAAGGCAGCCCCCUGGGCUA